ACGGCUCAGUAACACGUGGAUAACCUGCCCUAGGGAAGGGGAUAACCCCGGGAAACUGGGGAUAAUACCCUAUAGGUUACAGAUGCUGGAAUGCUCUGUAACCCAAAGUUCCGGCGCCCUAGGAUGGAUCUGCGGCCGAUUAGGUUGUUGUUGGGGUAAUGGCCCAACAAGCCAGUAAUCGGUACGGGUUGUGGGAGCAAGAGCCCGGAGUUGGAUUCUGAGACACGAAUCCAGGCCCUACGGGGCGCAGCAGGCGCGAAAACUUUACAAUGCGGGCAACCGUGAUAAGGGAACCUCGAGUGCCUGUAAAUGCAGGCUGUUUAGGUGUUUAAAACGCACCUGGAGAAAGGGCCGGGCAAGACCGGUGCCAGCCGCCGCGGUAAUACCGGCGGCUCGAGUGGUGGCCACUUUUAUUGGGCUUAAAGCGUUCGUAGCUGGGUUGUUAAGUCUCUUGGGAAAUCUGGCGGCUUAACCGUCAGGCGUCUAAGGGAUACUGGCAAUCUUGGAACCGGGAGAGGUGAGGGGUACUUCGGGGGUAGGAGUGAAAUCCUGUAAUCCUCGAGGGACCACCUGUGGCGAAGGCGCCUCACCAGAACGGCUUCGACAGUGAGGGACGAAAGCUGGGGGAGCAAACCGGAUUAGAUACCCGGGUAGUCCCAGCCGUAAACUAUGCGCGUUAGGUGUAUCGGUGACCACGAGUUACCGAGGUGCCGAAGGGAAACCGUGAAACGUGCCGCCUGGGAAGUACGGUCGCAAGGCUGAAACUUAAAGGAAUUGGCGGGGGAG
rnacentral:rRNA from 1 species